AAAGUUAAACGGGCGCACAAAUAGACUGACGUAAAGAUCAAUUUGAGUAAACAAUGUUACGGAGAGUUUCUGAUCGUCUUUUCUGAAUUGUUACAAACUGGGGCGGUGGUGAAGGGCCGUUUUUAGUUCUUGGAGUGAUCUGUCUGAUUGAUUCCGAUAACGAACGAGAUUCAGAGAUAUGAAAUAGAUGCUUUUAGGACUAAGGUGUCGAAUAAUGGGAUUAAGCAAUAACAGGUCUUUGAUGCCCUGAGAUGUCCUGGGCUACGCGCGCGCAACCAUGAAAUUAUCAAGCAUUUUUCCUAGACCGAGAGGUCUACGUAAAUCGCUAAACCAAUUUCUUGCUUGGGAUUGAAAACGACAACUCGUUCAUACGGACUAGAAAUUGCCAGCAAGUGUGAGUCGUUAACUUGCACU
rnacentral:ncRNA from 1 species